rnacentral:rRNA from 1 species
AUUGAACGCUGGCGGCAUGCCUUACACAUGCAAGUCGAACGGCAGCACGGGAGCAAUCCUGGUGGCGAGUGGCGAACGGGUGAGUAAUAUAUCGGAACGUGCCCAGUAGUGGGGGAUAACUGCUCGAAAGAGCAGCUAAUACCGCAUACGACCUGAGGGCGAAAGGGGGGGAUCGCAAGACCUCCCGCUAUUGGCGCGGCCGAUAUCAGAUUAGCUAGUUGGUGGGGUAAAGGCCUACCAAGGCAACGAUCUGUAGUUGGUCUGAGAGGACGACCAGCCACACUGGGACUGAGACACGGCCCAGACUCCUACGGGAGGCAGCAGUGGGGAAUUUUGGACUAUGGGCGCAAGCCUGAUCCAGCAAUGCCGCGUGCAGGAAGAAGGCCUUCGGGUUGUAAACUGCUUUUGUCAGGGAAGAAAUCCUCUAGGUUAAUACCCUUGGGGGGAUGACGGUACCUGAAGAAUAAGCACCGGCUAACUACGUGCCAGCCGCCGCGGUAAUAC